rnacentral:rRNA from 1 species
UACGUAGGGUCCGAGCGUUGUCCGGAAUUAUUGGGCGUAAAGAGCUCGUAGGCGGUUUGUCGCGUCUGCUGUGAAAUCCCGAGGCUCAACCUCGGGCCUGCAGUGGGUACGGGCAGACUGGAGUGCGGUAGGGGAGAAUGGAAUUCCUGGUGUAGCGGUGAAAUGCGCAGAUAUCAGGAGGAACACCAGCGGCGAAGGCGGCGCUCUGGGCCGGUACUGACGCUGAGGAGCGAAAGCGUGGGUAGCAAACAGG